CUGGUUGAUCCUGCCAGUAGUCAUAUGCUUGUCUCAAAGAUUAAGCCAUGCAUGUCUAAGUAUAAGCAUUUAUACUGUGAAACUGCGAAUGGCUCAUUAAAUCAGUUAUAGUUUAUUUGAUAGUACCAUUACUACUUGGAUAACCGUGGUAAUUCUAGAGCUAAUACAUGCAUAAAAACCCGACUUCGGGAAGGGUUGUAUUUAUUAGAUAAAAAACCAACCUGGGCAACCAGUUUUUGGUGAUUCAUAAUAACUUUUCGAAUCGUAUGACUUUACGUCGACGAUGGUGCAUUCAAAUUUCUGCCCUAUCAACUAUCUAUGGUGGGACAGAGGCCGACCAUGGUUUUAACAAGUAACACAGAAUUAUUGUUCGAUUUCUCAGGGGAGGCUGCUAAAAAAUACCACCCCUAUGAAGAAGCAGGCGGGCAACAACUCACCAUGCCGAUGGAGGAGUGAUGCCAAUAACAGCAGCGGUUUUUUCAGUCUUGGUGGGAUACAAUUAAUCCCCCAUCUACCACGACGUUGGCACGACUGUCAUGAAAGACCCCCGUCAGGAACCAGUUCGAACGCGUUUUUUCACCCGGGGGAAGAUAUCCCGCCAAA
rnacentral:rRNA from 1 species